UAGGGAAUCUUCCGCAAUGGACGCAAGUCUGACGGAGCAACGCCGCGUGAGUGAAGAAGGAUUUCGGUUCGUAAAACUCUGUUGUUAGAGAAGAACAGCGCAUAGAGUAACUGUUAUGCGUGUGACGGUAUCUAACCAGAAAGCCACGGCUAACUACGUGCCAGCAGCCGCGGUAAUACGUAGGUGGCAAGUGUUGUCCGGAUUUAUUGGGCGUAAAGCGAGCGCAGGCGGUCAAUUAAGUCUGAUGUGAAAGCCCCCGGCUCAACCGGGGAGGGUCAUUGGAAACUGGUUGACUUGAGAGCAGAAGAGGAGAGUGGAAUUCCAUGUGUAGCGGUGAAAUGCGUAGAUAUAUGGAGGAACACCAGUGGCGAAGGCGACUCUCUGGUCUGUAACUGACGCUGAGGCUCGAAAGCGUGGGUAGCAAACAGG
rnacentral:rRNA from 1 species